AGAAUCAACGCUGGCGGCGUGCCUAACACAUGCAAGUCGAACGAGAAAGUGGAGCAAUCCAUGAGUAAAGUGGCGACCGGGUGAGUAACACGUGACUAACCUACCUUCGAGUGGGGAUAACCUCGGGAAACCGGGCUAAUACCGCAUAAAAUCUUUGGAUCGGAAGAACUGGAGAUCAAUGGAGCAAUUCGCGUUGGAAGAGGGGGUCGCGGCUGAUUAGCUAGUUGGCGGGGUAAUGGCCCACCAAGGCUUUGACU
rnacentral:rRNA from 1 species